rnacentral:rRNA from 1 species
AUGGGUGACCUCCUGGGAAGGCCUCGUGUUGCAACCC